rnacentral:rRNA from 1 species
CGCCCUUCCAGAGGGGGACAACAGUUGGAAACGACUGCUAAUACCGCAUACGAUCCAAUCUCGGCAUCGAGACUGGAUGAAAGGUGGCCUCUAUUUAUAAGCUAUCACUGAAGGAGGGGAUUGCGUCUGAUUAGCUAGUUGGAGGGGUAACGGCCCACCAAGGCGAUGAUCAGUAGCCGGUCUGAGAGGAUGAACGGCCACAUUGGGACUGGGACACGGCCCAG